rnacentral:lncRNA from 1 species
CACACUUGAAUUCAAAUUGAAUUUGAAUUCAAAUGCAAACCAACUCAUCCUUAUCCACUCUGGGUGUGAGAAGAGAGGAGGCGUGGCUUCUUUGUGCGUGGAGAGUUUAUACGAGAAACUCUUUCUCGUGUAAAGCAAGGGGCGCACAAGAUAAGGUGGGUGGCGCAUGGAUUAGUUGGUUGCCCAUUCAAAUUCAAACAUCCUUUGAAUU